rnacentral:rRNA from 1 species
AUUGAACGCUGGCGGCAGGCUUAACACAUGCAAGUCGAGCGGAGUGAUGGUGCUUGCACUAUCACUUAGCGGCGGACGGGUGAGUAAUGCUUAGGAAUCUGCCUAUUAGUGGGGGACAACAUCUCGAAAGGGAUGCUAAUACCGCAUACGUCCUACGGGAGAAAGCAGGGGAUCACUUGUGACCUUGCGCUAAUAGAUGAGCCUAAGUCGGAUUAGCUAGUUGGUGGGGUAAAGGCCUACCAAGGCGACGAUCUGUAGCGGGUCUGAGAGGAUGGUCCGCCACACUGGGACUGAGACACGGCCCAGACUCCUACGGGAGGCAGCAGUGGGGAAUAUUGGACAAUGGGGGGAACCCUGAUCCAGCCAUGCCGCGUGUGUGAAGAAGGCCUUAUGGUUGUAAAGCACUUUAAGCGAGGAGGAGGCUCCUUUGGUUAAUACCCAAGAUGAGUGGACGUUACUCGCAGAAUAAGCACCGGCUAACUCUGUGCCAGCCGCCGCCGUAA